rnacentral:rRNA from 1 species
AUUGAACGCUGGCGGCAUGCCUUACACAUGCAAGUCGAACGGCAGCACGGGAGCAAUCCUGGUGGCGAGUGGCGAACGGGUGAGUAAUAUAUCGGAACGUGCCCGGUCGUGGGGGAUAACGUAGCGAAAGCUACGCUAAUACCGCAUACGAUCUACGGAUGAAAGCGGGGGAUCGCAAGACCUCGCGCGAUUGGAGCGGCCGAUAUCAGAUUAGGUAGUUGGUGAGGUAAAGGCUCACCAAGCCGACGAUCUGUAGCUGGUCUGAGAGGACGACCAGCCACACUGGGACUGAGACACGGCCCAGACUCCUACGGGAGGCAGCAGUGGGAAUUUUGGACAAUGGGCGCAAGCCUGAUCCAGCAAUGCCGCGUGCAGGAUGAAGGCCUUCGGUUGGU